rnacentral:rRNA from 1 species
AACCUACCUAUAAGACUGGGAUAACUUCGGGAAACCGGAGCUAAUACCGGAUAAUAUAUUGAACCGCAUGGUUCAAUAGUGAAAGACGGUUUUGCUGUCACUUAUAGAUGGAUCCGCGCCGCAUUAGCUAGUUGGUAAGGUAACGGCUUACCAAGGCAACGAUGCGUAGCCGACCUGAGAGGGUGAUCGGCCACACUGGAACUGAGACACGGUCCAG